AAUCUUGCGCAAUGGGGGAAAGCCUGACGCAGCGACGCCGCGGGUGGGAAGAAGGCCUNCGGGUUNUNAACCACUUUCAGGAGGGNCGAAGCGAAAGUGACGGUACCUCCAGAAGAAGCCCCGGCCAACUACGUGCCAGCAGCCGCGGUAAUACGUAGGGGGCGAGCGUUGUCCGGAAUUAUUGGGCGUAAAGAGCUCGUAGGCGGUCCUUUAAGUUUGAGGUGAAAUCUCAGGGCUCCAUCCUGAAAUUGCUUUCGAUACUGGCGGACUUGAGGCAGGUAGGGGAGAACGGAAUUCCUGGUGUAGCGGUGAAAUGCGCAGAUAUCAGGAGGAACACCGGUGGCGACGGCGGUUCUCUGGGCCUGUUCUGACGCUGAGGAGCGAAAGCGUGGGGAGCAAAC
rnacentral:rRNA from 1 species